UACGUAGGGGGGCAAGCGUUUGUCCGGAUUUAUUGGGCGUAAAGAGCGUGUAGGCGGCCAGGUAGGUCCGUUGUGAAAACUCGAGGCUCAACCUCGAGACGUCGGCGGAAACCCUCUGGCUAGAGUCCGGAAGAGGAGAGUGGAAUUCCUGGUGUAGCGGUGAAAUGCGCAGAUAUCAGGAAGAACACCCGUGGCGAAGGCGGCUCUCUGGGACGGUACUGACGCUGAGACGCGAAAGCCGUGGGGAGCAAACAGG
rnacentral:rRNA from 1 species